rnacentral:lncRNA from 1 species
UUUUGUCUUUGUUUUUGAAAUUAACUGUUUAACUUGAUUAUAUAAAAAGUGCUUGGAAGCAUUUUAAUUUCUAAGAUAAUAUUUGAUGCACCGGGAAUUUCACAAAGCGAUUAUGGAAAUAACUCUAUGGUAGUUCAGAUUAUUGUUUUGUCAAUGAAAUACUGAUGUAGGACCAGUGUUGCUUCCGGGUUCUGCUAAUAUUUUCAGCAUAGGCGAUAUCAGGGGUCCAUUCUGUAACACCUGCCAGCUGAACUCAGCUGUAAGACUUGUCACACUUUAUUGGCAUUUUGUCAUUAUUUUUAUGAUUUCAAAAAUACAGAAUUGAUCCCUAAGGGGCAGAAGGGAACCGCCGAGCUUUUCCUUGGCAACAGCUGAUUUUUGUGCAGUGCACACUAAGCUCCGCGGAUUACAAGUGGCAAAUCAGUAGUAAGUAGCCAGCAGCGACGUCCCAUCACAGUGGGUUGAGAGUUGGGCUCCUCCCCGCACACACCUUUUUAUGAAGUAGCUCUGUGGAAAGGAAACUUCAGGCACUUAAUGAAGUCAUGAAUGAAGAGACACCGAGCAGAGGGUUAGACACAGCACUGCCCACAUCACCCGCCGCGUGCCCAAAGAAAAGAAAGUAAUAUCCACAUGACACUGGGCAACGUCUCCAUCAUCCGGAAAACUGCGUUAAAGGAAAUUGUCUCUCAAGUCCUGUCGGUGAUGACAGUCUACGAUUUCAAAACCUGAGAUGGGAUACUAACGAUCAUCAGAAGCCAGGUUUCUAGGACUAAAUGUAAGAACAUCUUGUCCUGUUCAUGCGUUUUCUCAUCCCUAACAGAAGGUUUAAAAGUUUCAACUUCCUAAAAAGGAACACAAACAAAAACACAACACAGGCUGACUGGGCUGGAGAGCACGAGAAUCUGCCAGACGCCCAAACCACGCAGGACCCACACGCUCAGCGAGCUCAGCGCCCACCGGCUCACACAUCCAUCACUCUCGGGGGAGCCUCCUAUGUCCCAGCGACUCCACAAGCACGGUGGCUUACCCCGGCCGUGGCUUAUACUCAGUCGGAGUUAAAAAGGCCAUAG